GGUACUAUUAGGAGGUGUGGCCUUGUUGGAGUGCAUGUGGUCUUGUUGGAAGAAGUAUCACUGUUGGAGUAGGCUCUGAGAGAGCUUCCACGUUGCUAUCUGAGGAUGCCAAUCUUCUCCUAGCAGCCUUCAGAUGAAGAUGUAGAACUCUCAGCUCCACCUUCACCAUGCCUGCCUGGAUGCUGCCAUGUUCCCACCUUGAUGAUGAUGGACUGAACCUCUGAACGUGUCCCCUCUCAUACAGGCAACCACAGCUGUGUGAGAUCUUAUUUGCGAUGACUACGAAAUGUUCUGAAGACAGCAUUUCCCUGCUGACACUCAACUUCUGAGGGGCUUUCUGUGCUCUAGCCAGGGGCCUCAUGCCUGACUUCACAGUGGCCCAACCCACUCAGCACUCAACAGGUGGUGAGUACCGAAGGAUGCAGGGUGCUCUAGAGUUGUGGUGAGUGUCUUGACAGAAGGACGGUUCUUGGGUAACUGAAGCCUACAUUGAUUCGUUCAUCCAUUAAUCAAACAUACACUGAUCUCUGAACACUGAUGAGGUGCACACUCAGGUCUCCCGUCGAUGGAUCAUGCAAGUUAUCUUAAGACGCUGGUGUGCACAGUCAUAGAAUUGCUGGGAUGAUACGCUCCAUGUCUGUUGGGGUUUCUACCAUCAAGCUCUCUGCAGCAGCUGUGCCCUAUCACAUUCUCAGCAGCGAUACCCUGUAGUUUCAGUUCCUCUGCCCCCUUCAGAGCUUGGCACUUCCUACUUUUAGCAAUUAUGCUUUAAAUGAUCAUAAAGUGAAGUCUCUUUUCGGUUUUCAGUUCUUAUUGGCAUGUUGUCAUGUGUGACUGAUUUGAUUUGAUCUCAAUUGGCCCUCGAUUGACCUCUCUUCUUUUUCUCCCCUCAACAUCUCUAGUGGUCUCUCUUCCACUUUCAUAGCGUUGUGCUUUUUCUACAUUAUGCAUGAAACAGACAACGUUUUUCAAGACUUGCAGUUCCCAGUCUGGCUUAUUUCACCUAACAGAAUGAUGUCCCCUCCCCUCCAAAAAUACACCAUGCUUUUGUUGUUUGCAUUACAAUGAAAACUAUAUUUUUUUAUUAUGGCUUAACUCUUAAUUUUCAAAAAGUUUUAUCUGCCUGUGUGUGUAUGCACACAUUCCAUGAAACAUGUUGAAGUCAGAGGCCAACCUAAGGGACUUGGUUUUCUCCUUCCACCAUAACUUUGAGGAAUUAAGCCUAAGCUCAUGUCUUUAAAUUUGAAUGGGAAGGGCUUUUACUCCACGAGCCAUCUCACCAACUACUUUUUGUUUGUUUGUUUGUUUGCUUGCUUGUUUGUUUUUGGACAAGGUUUCACAUACCCCAGGUUGGCCUUGAACUCUCUCUAUAGCCAAGGCUGAUUCCAAACUCUUAAUUUGUCUGUCUUCACUUACCAAGUGCUAAGAUUACAAGUGUGUGCCACCACAUAGGUUAUAUGUGAUUCUGGAGAUAGAGUUCAGGGUUCUGUGCAUGCUAGGCCAGCACUCUGGCAACUGGACCACGUUCCCAGCCUCCAUUUUAUAGUUCUGACUUGAUAUAUGUUAAAUCUAUUUACUUACCUGCGUUGUGCUUCUGUGUGUGUGAGUGUGUGUGUGUGUGAGUGUGUGUGUGUGUGUGUUUCAGCAAGUAGACACACAGUCCCCAAAGCAUCUUGUAUCCUUCAGGACUCAUCUGCUGAGUCUAGAGGAAGUUUUAGUUCUGUGAGGUUAUGUGAGAUGAGGGAGGCAUCUUCAAUAAAUGUUGCUGAUCUAACAAUGUCUGCAUAUAGAAGAAUGAAAAUAGAUCUGUAUUUAUUAUCCUGCACAAAUCAUAAGUCCAAGUAGAUCAGAGGCAUCAGCAUAAAACCAGACACACAGAACCCGAUAGAAGAGGAAGUGAAGUAACAGCUUCGAGGACAUUGGUGAGGAGUCAGGUUCCUAAACAGAACACCAAUGGCACAGGCACUAAGAUCAAGAGUUAAUAAAUGGGACCUCAUAAAACCAAAAUGCUUCAAUAAAGCAAAGGAUGCCGUCAAUAGAAUAAAAUGGCAGCCUACAGAAUGGGAAAUGAUUUUUACCAACCUGAACUCAACAUAGAGGGCUAAUAUCCAGCAUACUUAAAGAAGUCAAGAAACUAGACGUCAGCCGGGCGGUGGUGGCACACGCCUUUAAUCCCAGCACUUGGGAGGCAGAAGCAGGUGGAUUUCUGAGUUCAAGGCCAGCCUGGUCUACACAGUGAGUUCCAGGACAGCCAGGGCUACACAGAGAAACCUUGUCUCAGAAAAAAAAAUAAAUUAGACAUCAGCAAAGCAAAUAAUCCACUUUUUAAAUGGGAUAUAGAUCUAAACAGAGAAUUAUCUGUAUGUGUUACAACUAUGAGGGAAAAGGCUUCUCCACUAGAAAUGUUAUAGCUCUGCUCUGGGGUAGGGGAAGGUUUCCCCCACUACAAAUGUUAGAGCUCUGAAGGGAAAGAUAUCCUGGCAGUUGGGAGCCAGGGAAUACUGCAAAGUCACACCUCACAGCAAACCCCACACAGGAGAUUUUUUGGAAAAGAAAAACCUAGGAGGGUAGUUGCUUCUUCUUCAGCAACAGAGAACUGAACAGAAGACAGGGCUCAUAGGGCAUUUCCUGUGGGGCAGAGCUUUCCAGGUUGGAGAUUUUCACGGUGAGAAUUAAUGGAAUUUUAAGUCCAGAGUUUGGAGUGAGUUUAGGGAUGGGUGGGAUUUCAAAUCUUGAGUUUGGGGUUUUUAUUCUGCAGGGAGAGGACUGGGUCCAGAUCUUAGGGGAGAGUAUUCUAUGAGUGGAAGCUGGUGGUUGGAGGUCCUCAAAGAAGAGGCCUGGAUGAGGAACUUACAUUCUCAAGUGAAAUUUUAAAUGGCUGAGAAACAUAUAAAGAAAUGUUCAACAUCUUUAUCCAUCAAAGAAAUGCAAAUCAAAACUACUUUGAGAUCCUUAUACCUGUCAUAAUGGCUAAGUGACAGCUCAUCUUGGAAGUAGAUCAAGAUCAAUAUGUAGAACCCUCAGAUACUUCAGCACCAUGCCUGCAUGGCCUGCCAUGCUUCUCACUAUGAUGACAAUGGACAAAAUCUCUGAAACUGAAUUGGGAAAGCUGAAGAGAAUCAAUGGAUAUCGUUCACAAAAGAGGAACCUGGGUCUACAGGUGGCCUGUGUCUUCCUGUCUGCAAGGAGCAGAUGGAAAACCAGUAUUCAAACAUUAAAGAGGCUGGAGAGGCCCAAGCACAGAGGAGCAAAGGAGGCCAAAGGGCAUGCUCUCUUUUCCCCAAGCAUAAGAGUUUCACUAUGUAAGUUUGGCUGACCUAGAAAUCACUAUGUAGACUACAUUAGCCUGGAACUUGCAGAUAUCCACCUGCCUCUGCCUCUUGACUGCUGGAAUUAAAGGUGUGCACCAUCACACACAAUUCAAAAAUAAUGUGUAUGGUUGAUUUGCCUAUUAUGUUAUUUGUGGUAAAACAGAAACAUUGUAUCUCUUCAUCCAUGGUUUAGGGUAUACCUUUGAGAGAUGACAACUGUUGGGGUUCAGGAAACUCCUCACAAACCACAUGAACACCAUCGAUCUCAGUCUGACAGGGAUGGUUUAUUGAACAUAGGCCCCAGGACUGGUCGACCAGUCCAGAUUCAGGAACUGAACCAGGACCUUGAGUUAAGAUUCCACAGGGUUUUAAGCUCAGAGUCCACAAACAUCUAUGACAAGUUAUUUCACCAAUCAGGAUUUAGACACAGAGGAUUUCCUUAUGAAUAUGUCUUUGUUGUACACUUAUCCUGCUCCCGUUGGUUGGGGUAUUCAACUGUGGUAGUGUGGUAGGAGACUUGUCUUGUAUAGUAUUUAUGUCCUAACUUGUCUAUCAGGAUGGGACUUGUCUAACAUUCAUGUACUAACUUGUCUAUCAGGAUGUCAGUUAUUCACAUACACGUCUCUUUCUGCUGAGUAGGACGUCAGUUCCCAGGAAGGUCUUGGGAACUUAAACUUUACUCGACCAUUACUCAAAAUUGAAGUCUUAUCCCAAAUAGUUUACUACUUUGGUGCAGGUGUCUCUCUAAUACAGGGUCCAUCCCAGGGACAGCUUUUCUUAUACAUAGGUUCAGGAAGUGCUGUUGGAUGGUUGGUUUGGAUCCAAGCUUCUUGUGGGUAACUAUACAAAACAGUUCUCCUGAUUUCUAUCAUGAUUGGUUUCUAAGGGCACAGAACACCACAGAGUAUGUAAUCAGUAAUAGUAUUAGAAAGUUUCCUAGUAACAGCAGAAACAUAUGAGAAAGUUUUGUUUUAUUUUGUUUUGUUUUGUUUUGAUUGUUUUUAUAAUGGCAGGCUAUCCAGGUAACAGUUAUCUAGGCCUUAGCAUUUUACCUAGGCCUUAACAUUCCAUUUAGGCCUUAAUAUUUUACCUAGGUCCUAACAAUAACUUUUUAAUAAACUCAUAGUUGUCACUCUAACUAAAAAAAAAAAAAAUCAAAUGAGCUUUCUUAAUAUCAUCACAUCCCACAUAAAACUUCCUACCAGCAGUUUGAGCUUUCCAACUCAUAGCAUGACAACCACACCUGAGUCUAUUUCCUUGUCCCUAAUUUGACUCUACCAACUGUGGUUUGUACACAUUUUUACCAUGUUCCCUUUAUAGGCAUAACUGGGCCUGUGUCUUUGCUGCUUUGCAAACGUCUGAGUUUCUGGAACAGGAGAAGCUUAGGUGAGGGUGUUCACUGCUGUCGUAGCCUGAAGGACUUGCUGGACAUCGUGUUAUUUGUCCUUUGUUAUAAUACCAGAGAGAUUCUGCCUUGGAUCAUCUUUGGGGGGGAGUGACUGAACAUGCAAAGGAUAACAAUAUUUUUAAUAUUUUUAAAUUAAACUUUAUUCCCAAAAUGCAAUGUGAAAUGAGUAUUAUGUUUAAAUGCCUAAUGCUACAUCACUGUGGAAACAUUACGGAAAGCAUUUAUAUCCGUGCUGACUUUCCCAUCUCUCAGGGACAAGCAAUCAACUGAGCUGUUUCAGAGGUUGGUGCCACUUGAGGAUGAGACUGUGAACUUCAACCAGGAGGAGUGGCCAUGCUGGACCCUGUUCAGAGAACUCUAUACCAGUGGGCGAGCCCAGCUCACCUGGGGAUCUGAGACCAGCUUCACUGAAGAUUUCUUUCCUUCUCUUUACAAAAUAUGGCACAGCAAUCAGAAAUGUGUCACUCCCUGCUUUGGCUUGUCCUGGUAGUUGAUUCCUUUGGGGCACCUCUAAGUAUUUUGUGUCCGGUUGGAAAUGUUGAUUUAAGAAAAACAAAUAAGCCCAUAGGAAUUUCAUUUGAUUACCACUAAAACCCAAGUAUCUCCAGACAGAUCAAGAAUCCUUUCCACUCACAGGAUAUUUCUUUCUAAGCUCCGAGGUCAUCUGUAGGAGGAAGAAAGCUGAUGAGGUGUGGGUGGGGUAGAUUAAAACCCCAAGUUAUAGGUCAGCGACUAUUACCCACUCAGAGAUGGAUUUCGUUUGAGGGCCACUAUCUGUUAUUUCACGUAUCCAGUCCCCAGCUGGUGAACAUGUAGACGACCUCCCUGCCUUUAGGAUUUCUAUUGCUGUGAUAAAACAAUAUGCCCAAAAGCAACUUGGGGAAGAAAGGGCUUCCUUUCAUCUUACAGUUUAUAGUCCACCAUCCAGGGAAGUAAGCACACCAUCCAGGGAAGUAAGCACGGGACCUCAAGGCAGGAACCUGGAGCAAGAACUGAUGUCAAAUCCUUGGAGAGGGGCUGCCUAGUGACUUGCUCUCCAUGGUUUGCUCAGCUUUCUUUCUUAUACAACCCAGGACCACCAGCUGCUCGGGAGCACCGCCCACAGUGGGCUGGACCCCUUUCACCACCACUCAUCAGUCAAGAAAAUGCUCUACGGACUUGCCUGCAGGCCAAUCUUAUGGAGGCAUUUUCUCAGUGAGUUUCCCUCGUUUUAGAUGACCUUAACCUGUGCCAAGUUGUUAUUAAAAACUAAUCAGCAUUCCCCUCUCCCAAUUUUUACAAGCAAUGGAUACAGGGUAUUUGUUAUAAGUGUGGAAUAUGGACAGGGUAAGACCACUUCUCUGGGUAGUGACCUAACCUGGCCAUGACUUAGGGAUGUAUUCAGCCUCAUAGUCCUUCUGAUGACCUUUGCUAGUGUACACUCAAAUAUGCAAAUGAACAAAUAUUUAUAUUCACACAUAAUAAUGCUUGUCAUUUGAUAUGCUAGACUGAUCCCUCAUUCUGAAUUUAGUCUAAAGGUUGAAAAGAGAGAAUAUUUCAUCAUUUCUCUUGCUGACCCAGUUCUCCGGUACAUACUGACUUUUUAUUUCAUUUUAUGAUCCCAGUUUCUGUUCUCCCAUCUUCCCAAGCAGCUAAACAAAGAACCAGAUGAACUUGAGGCACAGUCACCCAUGACACUGAGAGAAGAGUCACCAAGACAAAACUCACAGGACUGAGUUUUCCCAACAGACCGUCCCUUUCUGAUAAUUCCUAGAAGAGAAGCACAUAAAACACCAAGCCAGAUGUGCCACAACUAGAAGGAAAAGGCAAAAGAGGAUCCAGUACAGAUGGGCCAGUGAGACAGCUAAGAGGGUGCGGGUGCUAACUGCCAAGCCUCGGGCCUGUGUUUGAUCUCAGGAACACACGUGGUGCAAAGAGAACUGACCUCCACACAUAGCUGUGGCGUUUACACACCCAUCUACAGACUGCACUCCAUCCCCACAUACAAAUCAAUAAACAAAUUAAAUGUAAAAAAGCGUUUGUUUAAUGCUCUAGGACAGUAAAGGAAACCAAUGAAUUCAGAGAAAAGCAGAUGGAAAAGCAGACGGUGCUUUGAUCAGCUGCUUGGGAAGAGGGAGAUCAGAAACUGGGAUCAUAAAAUCUGAUAGAUUCCUCAGAUUCUCCUGUUUUCCUGGGCACUUGUUCCUUGGUUCUUGGCCUUAAUGUAUUACUUUUGAGUCUGUAGACCCCUUUCCUUUUUUGUUAUAACCCAUGUUGUUGUUAUAUUUCUUUUAUUGUCAAUAUAUUCUGAUACAAAGUUAAAGUUACACUGUUCACACACAUUUAGUAGUACUUAGUUACAACCACUCAUUCCCAAUAUAACCAUAUACCUGAGUGGUUUGUGCUGCUUACAAUAUAACUGCCAAUGAUAGAGAUUAGAGAGUAACUGCUUUUGAAAUUCAGCACAGUGGACCCACAUAAUAUUUGUGGUGGCCUCUGGAAUUCAUUUUCAUGGCUCAAUUUGAAUCGGAAGUCAACAGAAGCCAACAGAAGCAGAAGCCAACACAAUUGUGGGAUGACUGAAAAGUAAGUUCCCAAAUUCUCGGAUGCAAGAAGUUGAAAGCCUAUCCUACAAACAGGUGAUGAAAAUCCAAACCAUGUAAGAAAAUAACUUCAUGAUUUUGUUGUAUCUGCUCUGCUCUCCUCUCUCAACUCUUCUGAUGUCAACUGUGAGCUUCUGCCAAGAAAAGAAAAAUCAUGCAAAAAGUACCCAGUGCAGAAAAACUCCCAGCCAUGAGCAGCUAUUUAUGCAGCAUGAAUGCACCAAGUGUAGGAGUGUCCUCAUCACAAAUCUGCUCUCCAUAAACAUCAGGUAAUUUGCACUAUGGGCAGAUGUUUUGUCUGCGACAAACAUGGGGGUUCUUCAUUUAGAAUUGGGAGUUGACAUCCCAUCAGUGGACUCCCGUCAUCAAGACUUACGAGUGCUAUGACUGUGGAAAAUUAUCCAGUCAUACAUUCUGAACUGAAAAUACACCACCAAAUUCAAAGGGAAGAAAGAAAGUGUUUGAAAUGCCCUGAUUGUGGAAAAUCCUUCAGUCACACAUUUCACUGGAAGGCACACCAUCAAAUUAGCACAGAGGAGAAAUCAUGUGCCAGGAGCCAUUCUCACAUAGAUCUCAAAACCCCCUCCUCUCAGCCAUUUCUAGCCUGCUUUCUCUAGUCUGCUUUUAGAAGGAAACAGCUUAAAGAUUAGCCAAGUAAGCUAGAUGGUCAGUACAUGCAGAGCUCACCCGAGUGGGCUCAAACAAAUGAAGCUCACCUGUGGUUAGGUUACUAUAGCAACUCCUUUCCACUUCACCUCCUCAUGAUCAAUUUAUUGUGCCAAGCUCCUACAGUAAUCGCCAACUCUUCCCUGAGAUUCUAAAAGACAAUUCUGAGAAACUGUUCCUGAGAAAUGAUGCUAGCCCCCUGAGAUUGUUCCCUGAAUACAAUGACUUUCCCCCUUCACCCCUCCCUACACCUUGCUUGCUUCCCUUUAAAUUGCCUUGUGUAAAAAAAUAAAAUUUGAUAGCUUGAUCAGAAUACUGUCUUGCUGUCUG